rnacentral:rRNA from 1 species
ACGGAAUAUUGGUCAAUGGGCGCAAGCCUGAACCAGCCAUGCCGCGUGUGUGAAGAAGGCCUUAUGGUUGUAAAGCACUUUAAGCGAGGAGGAGGCUCUUUUGGUUAAUACCCAAGAUGAGUGGACGUUACUCGCAGAAUAAGCACCGGCUAACUCUGUGCCAGCAGCCGCGGUAAUACAGAGGGUGCGAGCGUUAAUCGGAUUUACUGGGCGUAAAGCGUGCGUAGGCGGCUUUUUAAGUCGGAUGUGAAAUCCCCGAGCUUAACUUGGGAAUUGCAUUCGAUACUGGGAAGCUAGAGUAUGGGAGAGGAUGGUAGAAUUCCAGGUGUAGCGGUGAAAUGCGUAGAGAUCUGGAGGAAUACCGAUGGCGAAGGCAGCCAUCUGGCCUAAUACUGACACUGAGGCACGAAAGCGUGGGGAGCAAACA